GAUGAAGAACGCAGCGAAAUGCGAUAAGUAAUGUGAAAUGCAGAAUUCAGUGAAUCAUCGAAUCUUUGAACGCACAUUGCGCCCGCCAGUAUUCUGGCGGGCAUGCCUGUUCGAGCGUCAUUACAACCCUCAGGCCCCCGGGCCUGGCGUUGGGGAUCGGCGGAGCCCCCCGUGGGCACACGCCGUCCCCCAAAUACAGUGGCGGUCCCGCCGCAGCUUCCAUCGCGUAGUAGCUAACACCUCGCGACUGGAGAGCGGCGCGGCCACGCCGUAAAACACCCAACUCUUCUGAAGUUGACCUCGAAUCAGGUAGGAAUACCCGCUGAACUUAAGCAUAUCAAUAAGCGGAGGA
rnacentral:misc_RNA from 1 species